rnacentral:tRNA from 1 species
UUUGUUAAAGUGUACAUGCACAUAAAAAUUUGAUUUUUAAAGAGAUUAUACUAAUCUAACAAUU